UUCUUAACUUACACAUGCAAGUCUCCGCAAUCCCGUGAGAACGCCCUUUCAACCUCUUAAAGGAUGAGGAGCUGGUAUCAGGCACAGGAAACCCUUGCCCACAACACCUAGUAUCGCCACGCCUCCAAAGGUAUUCAGCAGUGAUUAAGAUUGUCCAUAGGCGAAAGCCCGAGUCAGUUAAAGAAAAGAGAGUUGGCCAAUACGGUGCCAGCCGCCGCGGCUAUACCGCUAAACUCAAGUUAAAACCAAUCGGCGUCAAGCGUGAUUAAAGAACGUCUAAAUUAGAGUUGAAUAUUGACCCAACAGUUUAAAGCGUGCCAAUCAGAAACCCAGAAACGAAAGUUACUCUAAUAAAUCUCUUGAACACACGACAGUUUGGGCACAAACUGGGAUUAGAUACCCCACUAUGCCAUACCGUAAACCCCACUUACACUACACACGCCAGGGUACUACGAGCUUUAGCUUAAAACCCAAAGGAUUUGACGGUGUUCCAUCCAACUAGAGGAGCCUGUUCUAUAAUCGAUCAUCCACGAUCCACCUAACCAUUUUUUGCCUAUCAGCCUGUAUACCUCCGUCGUAAGCUUACCAUAUGAGUGAGAAAAAGUGAGCCAAAGGACUUAGAGCCAGAACGUCAGGUCAAGGUGCAGCUUAUAAAAUGGAAAGAAAUGAGCUACAAUUUCUAAUGUAGAACACACGAAUUACUUCAUGAAACAAAGUUAUGAAGGCGGAUUUAGCAGUAAGUAGGGAAUAGAGAGCCCUACUAAAGCUGGCUAUGGAACGUGUACAAACCGCCCGUCACCCUCUUCGAUAAAAUUUAAAUAUAGAUUAAUAACAUAUUCGCCCUCACAGUAGAAGAGAUAAGUCGUAACAUGGUAAGUGUACUGGAAAGUGCACUUGGAGUAA
rnacentral:ncRNA from 1 species